GGUACGACCUGCCCGGUGACUGAGAAGUUAAACGGCUGCAGUACUCUGACUGUGCAAAGGUAGCAUAAUCAUUAGCCUAUUAAUUGUAGGCUGGCAUCAACGGUUAGACGACAAAGAAGCUGUCUUUUUCUUUAUAUCCUUAAUUUAUCUUUUGAGUGAAGAGACUUAAAUAGCAUAGCGGGACGAGAAGACCCUAUUGAGCUUUAGAACUUGACUUUUGUUUUUAAGUUGGAGUUUUUGGGUUGGGGCAACUAUUUCUAUAAUUUAACAGAGGUUAGUAAAAAUGAAUUAAAUCUUUUUGGACCCGGAAGUGUUCCGGAAGUUAGAAAAAGUUACCUUAGGGAUAACAGCGUAAUUUUCUCUGAGAGUACACAUUGACGAGAAAGUUUGCGACCUCGAUGUUGGAUUAAGUUUUCCUGGGGGUGCAGCAGCUUCCAAGGGUUGGUUUGUUCAACCAUAAAAAUCUUACGUGAUCUGAGUUCA
rnacentral:rRNA from 1 species